rnacentral:sRNA from 1 species
AAUGGCCAUGGGGGUUAGAACCCCUUUUUGCAAGGAACUGAUGGAGCCUCACGGAGUCAAGGGCGCUUUUUUUUUUUUUUUUGCAUUCGUCCACCCCUGUAAUCGCCAAAUUCGCUGACGCUGCGCCGCGCCUGAUUCAUUGAUCGAUCUUCUGGGUCUUUUCCCGGAUACUUCGCGUUCCAGCCAAAGCCGCAGUUCGUCGCCUUCGCCUUCGUCCAUUUCUCGUCCCCGAUGACACCAAUAGUAAUACCUUCCGGUACGCGGGUUUCUGCAGAAUAACGUCCAGUUACUACUGCCGAAUCUAAAAUUAUGGGGACAGUGGGAAGCUGGGCAGAAGCGUAGCCCUCGGUUGAGGCUGAAGCUGUUGAGUACCUUUGCUGUGCCAAUGACAUGUGCGGUAUGCUGGCAGUUCAAGAAGCAGAGGCAAGGAAAGGGGAUUGCAUCAUCUCUCCGCUAGCGGCUCUCCUGUCAGCCUGCGAUCGUUGCAGGAACCUGCAGGCCUGGG